GAUGAACGCUGGCGGCGUGCCUAAUACAUGCAAGUCGAGCGAACGGACGAGAAGCUUGCUUCUCUGAUGUUAGCGGCGGACGGGUGAGUAACACGUGGAUAACCUACCUAUAAGACUGGGAUAACUUCGGGAAACCGGAGCUAAUACCGGAUAAUAUUUUGAACCGCAUGGUUCAAAAGUGAAAGACGGUCUUGCUGUCACUUAUAGAUGGAUCCGCGCUGCAUUAGCUAGUUGGUAAGGUGACGGCUUACCAAGGCAACGAUGCAUAGCCGACCUGAGAGGGUGGUCGGCCACCCUGGAACUGAGACACGGUCCAGACUCCUACGGGAGGCCGCAGUAGGGAAUCUUCCGCGAUGGGGGAAAGCCUGACGGAGCAACGCCGCGUGAGUGAUGAAGGUCUUCGGAUCGUAAAACUCUGUUAUUAGGGAAGAACAUAUGUGUAAGUAACUGUGCACAUCUUGACGGUACCUAAUCAGAAAGCCACGGCUAACUACGUG
rnacentral:rRNA from 1 species